GGGGGGAGCAAGCGUUGUUCGGAUUUACUGGGCGUAAAGGGCGCGUAGGCGGCCACCGCAAGUCGACUGUGAAAUCUCCGGGCUUAACUCGGAAAGGUCAGCCGAUACUGCGGGGCUAGAGUGCAGAAGGGGCAACUGGAAUUCUCGGUGUAGCGGUGAAAUGCGUAGAUAUCGAGAGGAACACCUGCGGCGAAGGCGGGUUGCUGGGCUGACACUGACGCUGAUUGUGCGAAAGCUAGGGGAGCGAACGGGAUUAGAUACCCCGGUAGUCCUAGCCUUAAACGAUGAAUGCUUGGUGUCUGGGGUUUUAUAGUCCCCGGGUGCCGUCGCUAACGCUUUAAGCAUUCCGCCUGGGGAGUACGGUCGCAANNCUG
rnacentral:rRNA from 1 species